rnacentral:rRNA from 1 species
UAUCUCUGUAGAGUCUGCAUAUCAAUAAGCGGAGGAAAAGAAACUAACAAGGAUUCCCUUAGUAACGGCGAGUGAAGCGGGAAGAGCUCAAAUUUGAAAUCUUCAAGGUUCUACCUUGACGAAUUGUAGUUUAAAGAAGUGUUUUCUGUUAGAUGAGUAGCAAAAGUUCCUUGGAAUGGGACAUCAUAGAGGGUGAGAAUCCCGUAUUUGGUUAUUCAUUCUAGCUUUGUGAUACACUUUCAAAGAGUCGGAUUGUUUGGGAAUGCAGUCCAAAAUGGGUGGUAAAUUUCAUCUAAAGCUAAAUAUUGGCGAGAGACCGAUAGCGAACAAGUACCGUGAGGGAAAGAUGAAAAGAACUUUGAAAAGAGAGUUAAACAGUACGUGAAAUUGUCAAAAGGGAAGCGUUUGACACCAGUGUUGUUUUUCCGAAAAUCAAUUACGAAUGGCUUGAUUCUGUGUUGUAUUGACCUUAUCAGCUUUCUGCACUUUUUUCGAGUCUUUCUUAAUGCACUUUUCGGUUAACAAGUCAACAUCAAUUUCUUUUGUUGUAAAAGAGUAUUCGGAAGGUGGCUUUCUUUUCGGAGAAAGUGUUUAUAGCCCUAUACUUCUACAAUCGGAGAGAUUGAGGUCUGCAGCGUAGAUCCUUCGGGGUUAGAUACACUUGUGCUAAGUUGUAGCUUUUCAUAGACAACUUGUUGACUAUGUUUAGUCAUGCGGCUUACUCGCUUGUGCUAUUUUACCUACGCUUAGGAUGUUGAAGAUGUAGCACAUCAU